rnacentral:misc_RNA from 1 species
UGUGCCGGGAAGAUGGUGUCAGGUUCAGUUGAUCAAUCUGAUGGUUCCUUCCUGGAUGAGAAUCAAAUGGAGGGGGGUUAUCUGCUGACUUGUGUUUCAUACCCAACUUCAGAUUGUGUGAUUCACACUCACAAGGAGAGUGAACUUUGCUGAGUACUGUUUGUCAUAAUUCAGUAGGCCAUGACACUUAUGUAAACCUGCUAAGGAUUCAUAUGAUGGUGAAGGUUCCUUUGGACCUUUGGUACUCUUUUAAGUU